AGACCUUGUAUGAUAGACACUCACUCCUGGUUCCUUCUUCCAGUCAAUAAAAGCCGAUAUCUCGCCUUACGUCUCAGUUGGGAUAGAAGUCACAGUGCAGAUCCAACCCGAGUGAACACACGGUUAGACCCGCAUUUUGGACUCCUGCGUCUUCCUCCGAAUUAGUGUUUACGCUUCGAAGUUACAAAACGAAAAGAGAUUCGAGGGGCGGCGCUGAAUGCCGGACGCCAACAAGAAUGGAGAUGAGGAAGAAUUUCUUCAGCCAGAGGAUGGUGAAUCCGUGGAAUUCAUUGCCACAGACAGCUGCAAAGGCCGACUCAUUGGGUGUAUUUAAAGAUGAGGUUGAUAGGUUCUUGGGUAGUGAGACUGUCAAAGGUUACAGGAUGAAGGCAAGAGAAAUUGGUUGAGAGGGAAGAUAAAUCAGACUUGAUGGGCCAGGAUCCCUAAUUCUGCUCCUACAUUAAGGCAGCGUUUGAUCGGUUACUGAUUAGUAAGGGAAAGUUACAGGGAGAAGUCAGGAGAAUGGGAUUGAGAGGGAAGAUAAGUCAACCACAAUCGAAUGGUGGAGCAGACUCGAUGGGCCAAAUGGCCUAAUUCUGAUCCCAUGUUUUAAACAGACAGGAACUGAUGAUUGAAAAGCACUUGGCAAACCCCACACCUUCCUCGCCUAGGCAGCGGGAUCCAGAUCGUGGGGGAGCAGCGCCACCUUCAGGCUUCCCACUUAAUUUACACACCACCCCGACUUGAAAGAUUCAUUCAACAUCUAUUCAAAAUCUACUUCAACGUCAUUUUCAAACACUGAAUCGCCCUGCUGGGCCGCACCUCCACCACAGGGAACGCAGAGGUUUAAGAGGAAUAGCCUCCCUUUCCUGAGGGUAUUCCCCUAUUCUAUUAGAAAAUGUCAGAAUCUGCGGGUUAUGAGUGAGGCAAUAUUACAACUUGGUUGCAUCAGAUCAGAGGUACUAAGCUUUCUUUUGCUUUGAAAACGCUGAAGUUCUAUUAUGUGAAAAAAGUGAUAUUACUCAAAGUUACUUCUCUAAGUUCAGUAGCACACACAAAAAAAUGUUUGCAGACAACCCUGAGUCAUAUGGUAAGUAAAAUUAAAAGGCUUACAUCAAGUUAGCACAUAGUACUUUUGAGGAAAAUUGAAAUGUGCAUAGUUUUCAGCUGAAUGCAUUACUUGCUAUUCUGUGAAUUUUGUAUUACGUAUAUUACAUAACUAUUUAGGUUGAGGUGUAACUGUAUAGAAACAGCAUGAAUCGUACUCAGUACCGUGGAAUACUCAAAAUCAAGCUGAAUUCAGGAACCUACCACAUAGCAUUUACAUUGGAACUGCCACUAGCUUUCUUUUGCUUUGAAAACGCUUAAAGUCCUAUUAUGUGCAAAAGGUGAUAUUACUUAAAAUAACUUCUCUAACUUCAGUAGCACACACAUAAAAUUGGUGGCAGACAACUCUUAAAUCAUAUGCUAAGUAAAAUUAAAAGGUUUACAUCAAGUUAGCUCAUAGCACUUCUGAGCAAAAUUGAAAUGCGCACUCUUUUGAGCUGAAUGCAUUCCUUUCUAUUCUGUGAAUUUUGUGCUAACUGUAUCUAGAUAACUUUUCAGGUUCAGGUGGGACUCUAUAGAUAGGAGGGAAGGUGUGUGGUUGGCGAAACUGAAGUUAGGACACACACGUUUGCAAUCUGCUUUGGCACGCUUGUCGCACGCGGUGUUACAGCGACUUCUAGGUACAACGUUGCCUCAGGAAAGCAGCUUCCAUCGUCUCGGCCCGAAACGUCGACCGUUCUUUUCUCCCCCGCAGACGUCGCCCGGCCUGCUGAGCUCCCCCGGCAUUUUGUGUGUGUUGCUCGGAUUUCCAGUGUCGGCAGACUUUGUGAUUUGAUCCAUCGUCAAAGGUCACCAGCAGCCAGGCCGUGCUCUUUUCUCGCUGCUGCCAUCAGGCAGAAGAACAGAUACUACCCGUCAACCAUCAGGCUCGUGCACAAAAGGAAACAACUACACUCAUUCUAGUCCUGGUGUUCCCACAGCCGAUGGUCUCACUUUAAGGACUCUUUCUCAUUACUUAUUGCUAUUUAUUUAUAUUUGCAUUUGCACAGUCCAUUGAUCCUGUUCACAGUUACUGCUCUAUAGAUUUGCUGACUAUGCCCGCAGGAAGAUGAAUCUCAGGGAUGUUAUGUGGUGGCAUGUAUAAUAAAUUUUACUUUGAACAUUGAACUUUUGUUCUCCCCCUGCUGGUGGAAAUUUGCUAUAGCAGGUAAUGCUUUAUCACAUGACCCGCGUGCUGCCAUAGAGUAUUUUGAUUGGUGGAUUCUUGCCUCAAGGAUGUGAUGUUAUCCGGACUAUAAAGGUGGUGGAUUUUUUUUGCAAAAGCACCAUCUCUAGUCCCCUUUCUUCUUCUUUAUACCUUUUCCCCUUCGUACUCUGUCAGCUCCUCACUUAGUUUCGCAUGGUCCGUGUCUGUCGUGAAGGAUCGAAGUUGUUCCUUCAUUCUGGAGCGCCUAAGUCAGAGAACCUGGGGAUUGGAAAUUGGCGAGAUCUGACAUCGGUGAUGGGGUGUGUACGCUGUGGAAAAGGCCCUUUGAUCCAUCCCGUCUGUACUGACCCACAUAACCCACCCAUCUGCCUCCGUUUCCCACCUGUUCCAAAUGCCCCUUGAAGAUUGCCCCCAUGCCUGCAUUUGCCUCCUCUCUUGGUGGAAGGUUCUGGGUCACCUACAGCUUCUUGCCUUGCAAAUCUCCUAUAAACCUACCCCACCCCUCACAUUUGACCUUUCUCGUGUGUUCACCUUUAGUAGUUGGAUGGCUGUUCAUCAUAGCCCUUGAAGAACUGUGUGAAGACCCUCUUCAUCAAGAUUCUGCGCCAUCAAUUCGGAACCUUCCCUACCAGCCUAGUCAAUCUCCCCCACGUUCCUCCAUGAUGUGAGCCAGCGGAGGGGGUAAGAAAAUAUGACGUGGGCGAUCGUGAUCUUUCCUGGACCAUGAUUGAUCUUCGCAAAUUUUCCCACAGAAGUGGUUUGCCAUUGCCUUCUUCUGGGCAGUGUCUUUACAAGACGGGUGACCCCAGCCAUUAUCAAUACUCUUCAGAGAUUGUCUGCCUGGCGUCAGUGGUCACAUAACCAGGACUUGUGAUCUGCACCGGCUGCUACCUGCCCCCAUGGCUUCACACGACCCUGAUCGGGGGCUAAGCAGGAGCUACACCUUGCCCAAGGGUGACCUACAGGCUGGCGGAGGGAAGAAGUGACUUACGCCUUUGGUAGGGACGUACCUCCACCCCACUACCCUGGGGAGAAAAACUCUGACUGCCUAUACUUCUCAUAAUUUUACGAGCCUCUAUCAGGUCUGCCCUCUGCCCCUGCAACUCCGGAGUGAACAGUCUAAGUUUGUCCAGCCCCUCCCAGCAGCUAACGCCCUCUUCUGCGGUCAAUGUCCUGAUGAGCCUCCUGCCUCUAAUGAAGUGGCCGCUGAGUGUAUGUCCAUGGUGUCCUGCUGCUGUGGCCCGUCCCCUUCGGGGUUUGAUACGUUGUGCAUUCAGAGAUGCUCUUCUGCACGCCACUGUUAAAGCACACGGUUACUGGAGUUACUGUCGCUCUCCUGUCAUUUUGAAUCAGUCUGGUCAUUGUCCUUUGACCUUUCUGACUAACAAGAAAAUUUCUCCCACAAAGCUGCCACUCACUGGAUAUUCCUUUUUUUUGUUCAUUCUCUGUAAACUCUAGAGACUGUUGUGUGUGAAACUCCCAGGAGAUCAGCAGUUUCUGAGAUACUCAAACCACCCCAUCUGGCACCGACAAUCACUCCACGGUCAACGACACUGCGAUCACAUUUCUUCCCCAUUUCCAUGUUUGUUCUAAACAACCGCUGAAACCUCUAGACCAUGCCGGCGUCCUUUGACGCAUUGAGGAGCUGCCACGUGAUUGGCUGGUCAGGUGUUUGCGUUAACGAGCAGGUGUACCUAAUAAAGUGGCCACUGAGUGUUUAUAAAUAACACUGGCACCAUGAGUCUUAGAGUCCUUGGUCGUUGUAGAAUCAGUUCAGAGUUAAGCUGAGCGAAGUUAUCCAUGUUGGUUAUGAAGGACUCCAUGCACCCCUCAUACAAACUCUUCUCCCUCCUGCCAUCUGGGAAAAGGCUCCGAAGCAUUCGGGCUCUCACAGCCAGACUAUGUAACAGUUUCUUCCCCCAAGCUAUCAGACUCCUCAAUACCCAGAGCCUGGACUGACACCUUACUGCCCUAUUGUCUUGUUUAUUAUUUGUGCACUUUAUGCAGUACUCUAGAGUAGCUUUCUCUGUGUUGUUUUUUACGUAAUUCAGUCUAGUUUUUGUACUGUGUCAUGUAGCACCAUGGUCCUGAAAAACGUUAUCUCAUUUUUUACUGUGCACUGUACCAGCAGUUAUGGUCGAAAUGACGUCAAAAGUGACUUGACUUGAAGAGCCUGGUGGUUGAAGAGUGGUAACCGUUCCUGAAUCUGAUGGUGCGGAGCCUAGGGCUUCUGUACCUUCUUCCUGAUGCCAGAGACCUGGACGGUGGCAGUCUGUGCUGACGCUUCCUUGUGGCGGCACUCGUUGUAGACCCAGCCAUAUCCAAAGUUCAAAGAGACGUGUAUAUAUCACAACGAGAUUAAUCUUCUUGUGGGUGUAAUUCUCGCUUCGGUUUAAUGUACGAGGCGAUAGCCCCCAGCCCAGCCGAGAAAUCUCAUUUGGGUGGAUGCUGCAGGACGUGUCCUGUUACAAAUCAGUAACCCAAAAUAACAAGCAGUACACAAUAUGCGAUUAAACGAUUGAGCUUUAUACCCCCCCUAAUGAAGGGUUUCCUCCCACAGACCCCUGGUAUGAAGGCGAUUGGAGGCACUGCUCCUCCCUCAGUCUCCAGGAUGUCUUGCUGCUGACUGCUCUCUUCCAGCAAAUAAAAUUGAUGCACCAUCAAUAACUCUCGGAGACGUGAGGCGAGAUAUAGGCUUUUAUUAGCUGGAAGAGAGCAGUCAGCAGCAAGAGAUCCCCACACGACAUCCUG